UACAGAGGGUGCGAGCGUUAAUCGGAAUUACUGGGCGUAAAGGGUGCGUAGGUGGUGAUAUAAGUUAGGUGUGAAAGUCCUGGGCUUAACCUGGGGAUUGCGCUUAAUACUGUGUGACUAGAGUACUGUAGAGGAAGGUGGAAUUUCCGGUGUAGUGGUGAAAUACGUAGAUAUCGGAAGGAACAUCAGUGGCGAAGGCGACUUUCUGGACAGAUACUGACACUGAGGCACGAAAGCAUGGGGAGCAAACAGG
rnacentral:rRNA from 1 species